rnacentral:lncRNA from 1 species
CUUGUCUUCCUGCUGCAGAGAGGGGGACGGCUUUACAGAGACUUCCGUUACACAUGGAAACAUCCCGUACGACAGGACCACUCAUGCUCUGUUUUCAGAGGUUCUCCUGUGUCUGCUGUUUCUCAGAAUAAUCCUUAUGCCAAGAGGCAUGUUUUGGAGUGGGUGUGCUGCUCCCCUUCAAUCCUUCAGCAGAUGAUUAAAUUUAGCAUCAACAGUAAUGCCCUACAAAGGAUACAACAUCAUUUCUGUGGUCUUUCUCAAACACCCAAAAAGCAUAACCUGGAUUUCAUUGUGAGGAAACACCAGACAAAUCCAAACUGCGGGACAUUCUACAAAAUCACCGGCUUUUGCUGUUCAAAAUAUAUGGUAUGACUCCACUUAGUUACAGGUGCUUAAGUGUUCUUUCAGGAACUGAGAGUCGACUCCUUGUCCAGUUCAAGUCAGCUGAGAUCACCAACCCAUCUACUAGGCCUGUGCAAGUGUCCAAUAGGUGACCCUUUGACAUCAGGGGGCCGAAAACUCCACCCUCAGGUCAUCUAAUGCCACCAUUUUGUGAACAUGCGUCCUAUGAAGAGCCAUGAAGCUUGACUAUGCUUGUGUAG